rnacentral:miRNA from 1 species
GGUAUUGUGUCCAUCUACAACUAAAAAUAUAUACAUAUAUAUAUAUAUUUUUUUUAGUUGUAGAUGGACACAAUACC